AAAGAUCUAUUAACUAACAGGAUAAUUUAACCUAAAAAGAAAAAAGAGAAACAUAGAAUGGCCACAUACUUCCCUUGGUAUCUUUAUCAAUUUGAUCUAAAACACCCGCGUUCUGCACUCUAGUGGGCAUAUACAGUAGACAACUGCAAAAGCAGCAGCAACUGGUCACCUGCACCUGAUUACGUUUCCCCAUGAUCUGUUGAAUUCCAUGGUAAGAAUAAACAUUGGAAAUGAUACAAAUUCCUGGCUCUGGGAAAGAACUGCAUAAGCAUAGGGAAAAAAGAAAAAAAGGAGGGACUAAUCUCUGGCAAAUGAGGCAUAUCACUGUCACAUAAACUUUACAGGGGUCUGGAUUUGGACAGAAAUCCUUUUCAAAUCAGCCUUUUAAAAGUGAUUCGUGCUUUUCAAUCAGUGACAGGAAAAUUAGCUGGAAAAGGGGCCCGCCACUCAUAAUUGCACGAGAUAGUGGUUGCACUGGCUAAUGUUUCGCAGGGAUCUUGUGAGCGAUAAAUUGAAGCUUAAGAGUUAAGACACUUCGUUAAGUCAUAACGAGAACUUGAAAUUGACGACAAAUUGUCAGAUUCCGGAGGGUAGCACUGUUUUUGGGGUCCAAUCUUUUACUGGUUUAAAGUCGUCGUAUUAACUGUACGAGCAGGCGAGGCUUUGGAUCUUCGAAAAAGAACAUUUUUCUGAUGCACACUGAUCUCGACGCCGACACGGGUCCAUGUCCUUCUGUUCUGCCCCUUCCGAUCACCAUCUGGCUCCCAAUAAUUUUGCAACACUGACUAAGAGAAAGCAACGUGAACGUUGCAGCAGAUGCCGCUCAUGGAGGUUUCUUUUUCAGUAGGUGUCUUUUCGAUUUCAAGUACGUGGAUACGAAAAGGAAGAAGAAGAUAAGAGAUAAAUGCGAGAAAAUAUAAACAAAUUGGUUGGUUAUUGAUUCCUCCCUCAAUCUAUCUUAGAUAGAAAUCUGGACAAUUAUUUGGUAGGCCUCUAGAUUUGUGGCAUGCUGUUUCUUGCUUGUCACUAUCCUACACUACUACUUA